ACGGGUGAGUAACGCGUGGGAACGUACCCUUUGGUCUGGAAUAACUCAGGGAAACUUGAGCUAAUACCGGAUAAGCCCUUUUUGGGGAAAGAUUUAUCGCCGAAGGAUCGGCCCGCGUCCGAUUAGCUAGUUGGUGUGGUAAUGGCGCACCAAGGCGACGAUCGGUAGCUGGUCUGAGAGGAUGAUCAGCCACACUGGGACUGAGACACGGCCCAGACUCCUACGGGAGGCAGCAGUGGGGAAUAUUGGACAAUGGGCGCAAGCCUGAUCCAGCCAUGCCGCGUGAGUGAUGAAGGCCUUAGGGUUGUAAAGCUCUUUCACUCGCGACGAUAAUGACGGUAGCGAGAGAAGAAGCCCCGGCUAACUUCGUGCCAGCAGCCGCGGUAAUACGAAGGGGGCUAGCGUUGCUCGGAAUCACUGGGCGUAAAGCGCACGUAGGCGGAUCUUUAAGUCAGGGGUGAAAUCCCAAGGCUCAACCUUGGAACUGCCUUUGAUACUGGGGAUCUCGAGUCCGGAAGAGGUUGGUGGAACUGCGAGUGUAGAGGUGAAAUUCGUAGA
rnacentral:rRNA from 1 species